rnacentral:rRNA from 1 species
UACGAAGGGGGCUAGCGUUGUUCGGAAUUACUGGGCGUAAAGCGUGCGCAGGCGGCUUCUCAAGUCAGGGGUGAAAGCCCAGAGCUCAACUCUGGAAUUGCCUUUGAGACUGAGUGGCUUGAGUACGAGAGAGGUGAGUGGAAUUCCCAGUGUAGAGGUGAAAUUCGUAGAUAUUGGGAAGAACACCGAUGGCGAAGGCGGCUCACUGGCUCGUAACUGACGCUCAUGCACGACAGCGUGGGGAUCAAACAGG